rnacentral:rRNA from 1 species
CCUACGGGCGGCUGCAGUAGGGACUCUUCCACAAUGGGCGAAAGCCUGAUGGAGCAACGCCGCGUGGGUGAAGAAGGUCUUCGGAGCGUAAAACCCUGUUGUUAGAGAAGAAAGUGCGUGAGAGUAACUGUUCACGUUUCGACGGUAUCUAACAAGAAAGCCACGGCUAACUACGUGCCAGCAGCCGCGGUAAUACGUAGUGGGCAAGCGUUAUCCGGAUUUAUUUGGCGUAAAGGGAACGCAGGCGGUCUUUUAAGUCUGAUGUGAAAGCCUUCGGCUUAACCGGAGUAGUGCAUUGGAAACUGGGAGACUUGAGUGCAGAAGAGGAGAGUGGAACUCCCUGUGUAGCGGUGAAAUGCGUAGAUAUAUGGAAGAACACCAGUGGCGAAAGCGGCUCUCUGGUCUGUAACUGACGCUGAGGUUCGAAAGCGUGGGUAGCAAACAGGAUUAGAUACCCUAGUAGUC